rnacentral:rRNA from 1 species
CCUUGGAGUGGGGAAUAACAGCCGGAAACGGCUGCUAAUACCGCAUGAUGUAUCUGGAUCGCAUGGUUCUGGAUACCAAAGAUUUAUCGCUCUGAGAUGGACUCGCGUCUGAUUAGCUAGUUGGUGAGGUAAUGGCUCACCAAGGCGACGAUCAGUAGCCGGACUGAGAGGUUGGCCGGCCACAUUGGGACUGAGACACGGCCCAG